AAAGAGACAUCUAUAAGGGUCAUUGGCGCAGAGUCCAGGCCCUCUCUGAAAUGUUCUGGAAGAAAUGGCGCGAAGGUUACCUUCAAACCCUACAGCCACGUAGGAAGUGGCAGGAUGAUCAACGAGACCUCAAGGAAGGAGAUAUUGUGCUUCUCAGAGAUAAAUCACUACCGCGCAACGAUUGGGCGUUAGGAAUCAUUCAAACUGUGUUUAAAAGUGAAUGUGACAAUAGGGUUCGCAAAGCUGAAGUUCGCGUCGCAAAGGACAACAGAGUGACUGUGUUAACGCGUCCGAUAACAGAAAUGGUUCUUCUUCUUGAAAAGUAGACUAUGGACUCUGUAAAUGAAGAACUGUGUAUUCUGGUUGUUUAACAUUUAUAAUUUGUAGUAGAAAAUAGUGAUAUUACUAAUAUCAGACGGGGAGUGUGCUGGACCAGCAGUAGGAAUUACCUCCCUUGGUAUAGCCUACGUCAGUACGUGAUAUUUAGUAGUUGUUUGUCAUGAGUUAUCCCCCGUAGUGUCGCUCUUCGUAUUGCAGAAGAACGCCAGAAAUUAUAAACACGUUUUACAGCGUUACAAGACCGCAGUGCAUUUAGCACAUGUGCAAGCCUAUUUUUUGAAAUGCCUUAAAUCAGAAGUCAGGCUAGGUGUCACCACAGCGUAAGUUUAUAUAUGCAUGUACAAGUAUAGAUCUAUUAUAGUGUGCAGUACAGUACCUAUAUAUUGUAAUGAUUCAAUCUAUAAUUGUUAAUCACAUGUGUGAAUAGUUAAAUACUAAAUUGUUAUAGUGUUUAUAAUACUAUCUAUUAGAAUGUUGUCUAUGAGUUCAGUUCUCAGACAUGAUAAUAUGACCAUUAACGAUGAGGCUAAUUGAUAUCAGAGUUAAUAUGUCAAUAGUUAUAGUAACAACAAAGUCUUUGAUUGUACAAUGUACCUUUAAUUUUCAAGUAAUUAUAUUGUUGAUUUGUCAAUAUUAUGAUACUAGUAUUCAGUAUUCUAGUCAACAAUGUUAGCUAUAUAGGAAAAACAGUAUGUUUAGUAUGAAAUAGAAUAUUUGUCACUAUGUUAGGACUCAUAAGAGUAUUUUGUUUCACAUUUCAGUUCUUACGGUGUUAACUAUGGUUUUAACUAUAGUGUUAUGUUGAAUAAACAAGUUUGACGUC